GGCGGACGUGGGGUGUCGUGCAAUAGGGCUGGUGAAUUACCAGAUCUCCGUCAAGUGCAGUAACCAGUUCAAGUUGGAAGUGUGUCUUUUGAAUGCAGAAAACAAGGUCGUGGACAACCAGGCUGGGACCCAGGGCCAGCUGAAGGUGCUGGGUGCCAACCUCUGGUGGCCGUACCUGAUGCACGAACACCCCGCCUACCUGUACUCGUGGGAGGUGUGGCUGACUGCACAGAAGUCACUGGGGCCUUUGACUUCUACACACUCCCUGUGGGGCUCCGCACUGUGGCCGUCACCGAGAGCCAGUUCCUCAUCAGCGGGAAACCUUUCUAUUUCCACGGCGUCAACAAGCAUGAGGAUGCGGACAUCCAAGGGAAGGGCUUCGACUGUCCGCUGCUGGUGAAGGACUUCAACCUGCUUUGCUGGCUUGGCGCCAACACCUUCUGCCCCAGCCACUAUCCCUACACGGAGGAGAUGCUGCAGAUAUGUUACCGGUAUGGGAUUGUGGUCAUCGAUGAGUGUCCUGCUGUGGGCCUGAUGCUGCCAUGAGUCCCUGCUGCGCACCCGCUCUGCCUGGCCAGCCCUCGGGCCACACCGUGACCCUCUGUCCCUUCCCUUCUGGCCCGCUGGCAACUCUUCAACAACGUGUCUAUGCAUCACCAUAUGUGGGUGGUGGAGGAACCGGUGCUAAGAGACAAGAACCA